GUCAUAAUUAAUUUGAUAAAACACAAUGUGGUUUUAGUUUUAUGGCUUCUGCCUUCAUAAACAAUGUGUUCACAUCCCCUCUGUCAAGUACCUCUUCCCUUAAAUUUCUGACUGCUUUUACUUGUUAAAGUUUGUCAGUAUUCAGUACAUAUUAAGAUUCUAAUAUCAAGUUCAAUAGUCUUCUUUUCUGUAGCAUUCCUCACUUGUAUUUUCUUUCCCUUUUUUUAGUGGGCAGGGAGAUAGAGAGCAUAACUUAAAAUUGGAAGGAAAAGAGAUCGUGGCCUGGGUCUUGACCCUCUGGGUCUUGACCCUCUGGGAAUGGAACUGGGAAGAGGAAAAAUGGAAAUUAGGGUUUUUCCUAUGAAUGGGAACUCUCCACCUGUAGCAGGAGAGGUCCCCAGGCUCAUGUUGGUUUGUCUUGUUCCCUCAGGUUUUCUCCUUACUGGUGGCCUCCACUGGUUUGUGGCUUAUGAGUUUACAAUGCAUAGAAAUUCUUGAGAUGGAUUUUAACUUUGCUUGCAGUCAUAAGUGUCCUGUAGAAACACCUGAGGGCGAACAACCUCUGUCCCUUCUGGCUCUGACCAACAUCUGUAUCUUCUCUACAGGGUCUGGACAUGAAGAACUCUUACCCUACAUUAGACUCCAUGCUUUUUUAUGAAACCCUCUUCUCCGGGAAGUACAGAGAUUGAUCAUGGGAGUAUGUUGUCCUCUCAGGCAUACUAUCCUGAAGAUGUUUCUCAGCCUGUUGAUAGCUACUUUCAAAAGCCUCUACCUUCAGACACCUCACACAAAAUGUAGUCUUCAGUCUCAAAAUCUAUACUUAAUCCCAAACUCCAGAAACAGAGGUCCAGUUUUUGUAAAAACUUCAUCACUGCAUUUUACUGUUUUUGCCACCACAGGGAGGCCUGUUUCAGCAGCUGAGCAAGCAUGUGGUGGGAAGGAAGAAUGUCCUUCACUGCAAAGUACACACCUUUUACAACUCAAAAAGGACUAGAAGGUCAAAAUGGCAUCACUCAGCUGUCCUGUGCCAAUUGCUCAUUAAAAUAGAGUGAAGAGACAGAACAAGAUUUUAAAAGGUCACAAAUGAAGACAGACAAAAUAAAGCCCAGGUAAUAGAAAAUGAAUGGAACUUU
rnacentral:lncRNA from 1 species